ACGGGGGGAGCAAGCGUUGUUCGGAAUCACUGGGCGUAAAGGGAGUCUAGGCGGUUUGGUAAGUGGGAUGUGAAAUGCCCGGGCUCACCCCGGGACCUGCAUCCCAAACUGCUGAGCUUGAGUACAGGAGGGGGUGGGGGAAUUCCAGGUGUAGCGGUGAAAUGCGUAGAUAUCUGGAGGAACACCGGUGGCGAAGGCGACUACCUGGACCAGCACUGACACUGAGGCACGAAAGCGUGGGGAGCAAACAGGA
rnacentral:rRNA from 1 species